CCUACGGGAGGCUGCAGUGGGGAAUAUUGCGCAAUGGGCGAAAGCCUGACGCAGCGACGCCGCGUGCGGGAUGAAGGUCUUCGGAUCGUAAACCUCUGUCAGCAGGGAAGAACGGUCACUGUGCUAAUCAGCAGUGAAUUGACGGUACCUGCAAAGGACGCACCGGCUAACUCCGUGCCAGCAGCCGCGGUAAUACGGAGGGUGCGAGUGUUAAUCGGAAUUACUGGGCGUAAAGCGCUCGUAGGCGGUAGGUCAAGUCAAGGGUGAAAUCCCCGAGCUCAACGUGGGAACUGCCUUUGAAACUGGCAAACUGGAGGGUAGUAGAGGAUAGUGGAAUGCCAGGUGUAGGAGUGAAAUCCGUAGAGAUCUGGAGGAACAGCAGUGGCGAAGGCGACUAUCUGGCACAUAACUGACGCGGAGGAGCGAAAGCGUGGGUAGCAAACAGGAUUAGAUACCCUGGUAGUC
rnacentral:rRNA from 1 species